rnacentral:lncRNA from 1 species
UUACUUUUAUCAAGUCCAGCAUAAGAUCUCAGUCAAGAUGUGCAAAUGUUUCAAUGCAUUUAACAGGUACUAUCCUUAAGAGUGAUCAAUCAACCAAGCAGAGAUGGAAUCAGAAAUUCAGAGAACUAUUCCUCACCAGAGAAAACGUUUCACUCAAGCAUUCAAAAAUGUAUCACUCAACUCACAGGUGUAUGGUGUGGUGUUGCUCUCUGUUGUCACAAUGUCACACAAAUUAAUUUUGCCUUUCAUUUAAUCACAAUCAAACAUACUCACAAACAGGUUGUCAUCACAAGGGCUUUUCAUGGCUUGUAACUUGGUUGGGCUAAGAAGGAAAUUGGUUUUUCUAGUUAGCAAAGUUCCUUGAGUUAAAAGAGACAUUUAUGAAUUCAUCUUUCAAGAACAUUCUCUCUUCUUUUUCCCGGCCUUCCCUUGCAGUGAGCUUUUUUCUUUUUCUUUUUGAAUUUUUCUUUUCUCACUUUUUCUUUUC